rnacentral:rRNA from 1 species
GACGAACGCUGGCGGCGUGCUUAACACAUGCAAGUCGAACGGAAAGGCUCCAGCUUGCUGGAGUACUCGAGUGGCGAACGGGUGAGUAACACGUGGGUGAUCUGCCCUGCACUUCGGGAUAAGCCUUGGAAACUGGGUCUAAUACCGGAUAGGACCGCACUUUGGUGUGUGUGGUGGAAAGGUUUUUCUGGUGUGGGAUGAGCUCGCGGCGUAUCGGUUUGUUGGUGGGGUAAUGGCCUACCAAGACGGCGGCGGGUAGCCGGCCUGAGAGGGUGGAAGGGCACAUUGGGACUGAGGUACGGCCCAGACUGCGACGGGAGGCAGCAGGGGGGAAUAUUGCACAAUGGGGGAAACCCUGAUGCAGCGACGCCGCGUGGGGGAUGAAGGCCUUCGGGUUGUAAACUCCUUUCGCUAGGGACGAAGCUUUUUGUGACGGUACCUGGAGAAGAAGCACCGGCUAACUACGUG